UUAAUUUUCCAAAACUGAUUACCACUAGAUACAAUGCAACCUUUUAACUGUUAAGUAUAAAGGAAAGUGCUGGUUAUUUAAAGUAAAUGGGAGCAGAAGUCCCAUGAAUAAUCAAAAACGUGGCUAACAGACCAAGACCAGAGAAUAAUGCACUUGGCUUUUGUGAAGAAAUUAAAGUACAUACUGUGAAUUUUCAUUAAAGCAAAUGUGUGAAAAGUUACUCUUAAGGUACCAUGAUCUUGAAGAAGCAGCCUCAGAUGCUCGAUAUAUUACACUCAGUCUCUCUCUUUCUCUGGAUUUUUCUGACUUCCUUCUCCUUGGACAACCCAGCUUAGGUCUUAGAACUCUUUAGAAUGAUAAAAUAUUUCACCUUUUACAUUUAUUUUUACAUAGUAGUAUACUUGGAUUUUAUUGCUAGGAAUCUUACAUAGGAACUCCCUUAUGGGGAGACUGUUUUUAAAUAUAAUUCACCUUUAAUUAAUAUGCUGUUUUAUCUAUGGAGCCCUCACUCUGGAGCCCUGGCUAGCCUAGAACUGGCUAUGUAGACCAGGCUGCUCUUGAACCUAGAGAUCCUUCUGCCUCUGCCUCCUGAGUGCUUGUAAGCACCACCAUUCCUGGCUCAAAAACAGAAUCUUUAAAUCACAGGAGACUUGGCACUCAAAGGGAGUUUGCCGCUAAACCUUCUGUGGCUAAAAGCAUCUUGUGUGAACAAUUUCUCUUUGUUUUUCUAGUUCAUUUACAUAAUGUGAGCUUAAAAAAUACCAACUAUGAAUUUUGAAAGCUCACAUGAAUUUUAAAAACCAUUCCUGAGUGUAAAAUGUAGGUAACAAGUCGUUUAUUAUUUUUAUAUUACUGAUCUUAAUGUUACUUUUUUCUUCCCAAGGGAUUGAAUUUAAGGUUUUGUAAUUUUUAAUUUUUUUAUGAUUAACAAGGACUUCAACACUUGUUUUGUCUAAUUAGAAAGGGCAAGAUGCUAGACGUGCUUGAAUAGGUGGCACCCGAAGAGCAGAGUGGCCCUCUGGCCCUCGUCUGUAAUCCCAGGACUUGAGAGGUGGAUGGGGUCAAGAAGUUACAGGUCAGUUUGCUACACAGUAAGAAGUCUCAGGCCACUGUGGCCUAGGGGAAAAAAAAAACGUUCCAUCCAACACUGAAAGCGUCGUCACACUGACAAUUUUACUUUAGCAAUGAGAAAGAAUUUUUGGUAACAUAUUACUUAAUGUUGUGGUUAAGAGUAUGUAUUCAAAUAACCAAAUUGUUAGGUCGGGUAUGUGGUUCCGAAGUAGAGCACUAGCCUAGCAUUACUGCAUGAGGCCUGGCCUCUAUCCCUAGUACCCAAAGGAGAGGAGAAAAAAAGAUACCAGAUCCUCUAGGUUCACAUUUUGCUUAAUGUGACCAUAACAACUUACAAUUUGGCUGUGCCUCAUUCCGUUCCCCCCCAUCCCCCCUAAAAUCCGGGGAAUAGUAUUAUCUUUAAAACUCAACAAAAGAUUAAGUGAGCUAAUAUGUGAAAUGCACUCAUGCCAGUGAAUUUUCAGUCCCGGAGCAAGCGACGUUUCAUUCCAUUCUCACAGCAUCCUUAUUUUCUGGAUUUUUCACAGAAAUCCUGGCACUUCGGCCAGGAAGCUGAGGGAAGCAGGGCUCAGCCUCACCGAUCCACUUGCGUUCCAGCUCUGGGGGGGCCGCGGAGGAGACGUCGUCGCCCAGCUAGCGGGGCCGCCCUCCCGGGUCCGCGGCCCCCACCAAGGGCCUAAGGCGCCCAGGAGCAAAAGGCUUCCGGACGAGCCUGCGCCACGGGCCUACGAUCUCGCCGCGGACCCACGAUACAGACAUUUAUUUACAUAAGCUUCACUCUGCGUUGGGCCGGGAGAAACGCUGCAGAGACCCCGAGAGCGCCUAGAUCCAGGGCUAGCGGGGUGCCAAAGGGCGGACACCGACGUCCUGGGGCACAGGCUCCCUUCCAUCUCUCGCCUUCCGGUCAUCACUGAGGGUCCGCCCCUUAGUGGGGAGGUCCCAGCUGUGCCGUAAAGUAAAGAGCACUCUUUGCCGCUCAUCAGCCCGCCCCUAUCUUUACGGCAGGCCGCAUUUCAUGCCUCCAACAUGGCGCCCCCCAUGUAGGCACUGGCUGUGGUUACCAGCGCAGGUAUCCAGUGCAGUUCUGAGCAGCCGCUGGGGUUACGCCAGUCUGCGCUGCAGAAGCAGCAAACGUUAUUCCUGGUUACGGCUCCAGAAAGCCAUACUUCUCUGAGGGUUUGGAAUCGCCGUCUCCUGUUAGAUUCUGAAAGUUUCUCCUCAGCCCUUGUUUGCUUCCCGUGUCAUUUCUGGCCACCUUCCUCAGGUCCCCGACCCUCUCAGACUCAAAACUAUGAGCCUCCGGCAGCUGCUGUUGCGCUUGUCCGGUUACCUCGGGGCUUCAGGUCCCCCCAGUCGCCACUGGUGGUACUUCAGAUCCCUCGACAGCAUCUCCUCGGCGGGCUCCUGGCGCGGGCGCUCCUCCAGGUCACCGGCCCAUUGGAACCAGGUGGUGUCCGAGGCGGAGAAGAUCGUGGGCUACCCCGCAUCCUUCAUGAGCCUGCGCUGCCUGCUGAGCGACGAGCUCAGCAAUAUCGCCAUGCAGGUGCGGAAGCUGGUGGGGACGGGACACCCUCUGCUUACCACUGCCAGGGCCCUCGUGCACGACAGCCGGCAUAACCUACAACUGCGGGGCCUGGUCGUGCUCCUCAUAUCAAAGGCUGCGGGGCCCAGCACUCGGAACGCUGCGUGUCAGAACUACGACAUGGUCAGUGGGGUAUACUCAUGUCAAAGAAGUUUGGCAGAGAUCACAGAACUUAUCCAUACUGCUCUCCUGGUGCAUCGUGGGAUAGUAAACUUAAGUGAAUUACAGUCAUCUGAUGGACCACUGAAAGACAUGCAGUUUGGAAACAAAAUAGCUAUCCUGAGUGGAGACUUCCUUCUAGCAAAUGCAUGCAAUGGACUAGCUCUUCUACAGAACACCAAGGUUGUGGAGCUUUUAUCAAGUGCUCUUAUGGACUUGGUGCAUGGAGUAUACCAGGAGAACUCUGCUUCCACCAAGGAAAAUUCUAUCCCAGAUGAUAUUGGAAUCUCGACCUGGAAGGAGCAGACUUUCCUGUCCCAUUGUGCCUUGCUAGCGAAGAGCUGCCAGGCUGCAAUGGAGUUAGCAAAGCAUGAUGCUGCGGUCCAAGACAUGGCAUUCCAGUAUGGGAAGCACAUGGCCAUGAGUCACAAGAUCAAUGCUGACCUCCAGCCUUUUAUUAAAGACAAGGCCAGUGACUCUAAGACUUUUAACCUAAACUCAGCACCUGUAGUCUUACAUCAGGAGUUUCUUGGAAGAGAUUUGUGGAUUAAGCAGAUUGGAGAGGAUCCAGCUAUGGUUGCCUCACCUCCAUGGUGAUCGGACGCCCCCUUCAGCCUCUGUAGGCACUAAUCACAAAGGGAUGCACAUACAUGGAUGGUAAAGCGCUCAUCCACAUACAACACUUGUGUUGAAUGGACACUGCUUGCCUGCAUAGAGAGUGAGGAUUAUUGACUGGUCACAGAAGCAAGAAGAUUGCUUCCUCUUAGAACCUGUUCAGCAGCAGUUUGAAGAGUACCUUGGGAGUUUUGAAUCGGGCUCUGCCUCCUCUGAAUCCUCCUUCAGCUAUCCUAAGGAUCAAUGGAUCGAUACUGUGUUGCCAAGCCCUGAGCCAUAAGCAUAUACACCCUCUCUCAGGAGACAGUUAGGGACAGAGACCUACCUGGGCCAGAUGGCAGCUGAGUGUGUACUGAGCACUGUCUCCAUACCGAACAGAUCCUCACUACCUUAAUUUUAAAUGUAAAUGUAAGCUGCUGAAAGGUAAUGAUCGGUGAGACUGUAGUCGGUGAAUGGGUGGAAAGUCAUUACGCAGUUUUCAUUUUGACUCUAAUGAAAGAGAGUGUAUCCUUCAGAGAACUGCAGCGCUCUGACUCUCAGGGCAUCCAGGAGCUAUUGCAGGUCAGCAAGCUUUAUUUUUAAUGAUCCUGCUAGUUUUCUGCUGCCAUCAUAAGUCACCUGAAGAAAUAAGAAUCAUGAUUAAAAUCUCGGCUAUCCCUGAAAGUACUGACAUGUCACUUAGGCUCGCCACGUUCUGACACUGUCAUAACCAUGCAAUACCUCAAGUGCAUGACCCAUUGCUAUUGCUGGCGUACCGCACUUGUUCCUGAUACCAUGCUGUUACUUUUUACUGAAGAAGGGAAACAAAGGCUGCCAGAUAAGUCUGCUGUGCAUUAAAAUGAUACAUGCAGUUUCUUAAAUGGAAGAGGUACACAUUAGGAGCACUCAUUAGCUGCUUGUGUCUAAGAUCGUCUGAAUCAUUUCUUGUUGUGGCGUGGGAGGAAUGUAUGGAUGAUUCGCUGAGACAGGGUCUGAUGGAUCCCAGGCUGGCUCUGGAAGUGAUCUUGAAUUCUUGAUCCCACAUGUUGGGUAUACAUGUAUAUGCCAUCAUGCCUGCACUAGUUUGAGGGAUUUCUAAGGAAAUAAUGUUAAUACUAUUCUCUACAUAGAAGGUAUAUGCUGUGAACAUUUGAAAGAAUUAUUUGAAAAAAAAAAAGAAGUAUUUGAAUGACCUCAGAUUAUGCCAUAAGUCUAGAUAUCUUCUGAAUUAAAAUAUCCCUUAAGUAAUCCCUCCGUGGGCUACAGAUGUAGCUCAGUUGUUAGGGUACUUGCCUAGCACUGUACCCCAGGCCCUGGGUUCAUUCCCCAGCACCACAGAAAACUAGGCAUGGUAGUGCGCACCUGUGAUCCUAGCACCCGGCGGGCAUAGAUAAGAAGGUCACAAGUCAAAAAUUAUCCUUAGCUACACAGGGGGUUUGAGGCCAACUUGAGCUACGUGAGACCUUGUCUCAAACCCGCAUAAAUAAAUUCUAAUGAAAAGAAUCCCAGCACUCAGGAGAUAGAGGGAGAGGAUUCUUAGAGGCCAGCCUAGACUAAGUAUCAAGAACCUGUCUUGGGCUGGAGAGACGGCUGGCUCAGAGGUUAAGAAGACAGUCUACUCUUCCAGAGGACCUGGGUUCAAUUCCCAGCACCCAUAUGUUAGUUCAUAACCAUUGUAACUCCAGUCCUAAGGGACCUAUUGCUUUCUUCUGGCUCCUAUGGGCAACAGACACAUACAUGGCACACAGACAUAUGCAGCCAAAACAUACAUUCAUAGACAUAUGAAAUAAUAAUAUUUUUAAAAGACUCUGUUUCCAAAUAAAUGGCCACAACUAGUGUAUAGGGGUUGCAGGGGGACAGAGUCCUAUGUUGUAUUUUCAGAGAACAAAGUGACUGAUUACAAAGGGUGCAGCCAUAAGAUACCUGAGGCGGUAACGUACAGAUGUGAAUGUCAGUGUAAUUAAUGCCAGAGGAAGGGAAGUAGGCAGAGGAAAGAAAUUGGGACAUGGCUUUAGAAAUGGUGUCGUGCCGUACAGCUCCUCAAGAAGGGCUUGCUUAUGAAGAUGGCAAUGGAUGCUUCCCAGAAAGGAAAGCCAUGAAAAGUGACACAGCUGGAAAAGCAUGUGUGUAGGAAGUUCAGAGAAGAGCAAGCACCUGGUGUGGUGGUGCACACCUGUAACCACAGUGCUCAGGAGGCUGAGGGAGGAGACAGCCAAAGCCACACAGUAAGACCGCAUCUUUUUUUCCUUUUUUUUUUUCUUUUUUAAAUGUAUAUGAGUGCACUGUAGCUGUCUUCAGACACACCAUCGGAUCCCAUUACAGGUGGUUGUGAGCCUCCAUGUAGGUGCUGGGAAUUGAACUCAGUGCUCCUAAUCGCUGAGCCAUCUUUCCAGCCCCCUUUAUAUCUCUUUCUUUCUUUCUUUCUCUCUCUCUCUCUUUCUUUUUUCUUUCUUUCUCUCUCUCUCUUUCUUUCUUUCCUUCUUUCUUUCUUCCUUCCUUCCUUCCUUCCUUCCUUCCUUCCUUUCUUUCUGUGUUUAAUUUGGAUGAAAUGUAGGAAAUAGAGGCAAUAAAAGGCAAAUGCAGAAUGCUCUGAAAUAGUAACUAGUUACUACCUAUAUUUAAAAGAUUUUGCAUAGCCAGAUGUGAUCAACUGUAUGUUUAAUUCCAGCACCCAAGAGGCAAGAAGCAAACGGAUCUCUGUGAGGUCAAGGCUAGCCGGGACUGCAUAGCAGACCCUGCAUAGAAAAUAAAAUAAAUAUAAUUAAAUAAAUGUAUUUUUGAAGAAAUUGAGCUGCGCUGUUCAUUUUAGAAGAGUUAAAAAUGGUAGCUCAUGCCUAUAAUCCCAGCUCUUGGAAGUCAGAGAGGAUCAUAAAAAGUUCAACUUUCUUGGCUAUACACUAAGUUUAAGGACCAUCCUGGGCUACAUGAAUGUCAGAAGGAGAGGCGGGGGGGCGGAGGGGAAAAAGAACUCUAGUUCUCCAUGUUGACUUGAUACAUUGUACAGACAUUGGUGGCCAUAUUGUCCUAAAACCAUAAAGCUUUUUUUAAAACCAUUUUCCCACUUGUACAGUACACUUUUUUUAACAUGUAAAAUCUAAAUAAUGAAAAACAGGAUUUGGUUAGGGUUUCAGGGUUUAACCCUUGCCAUAGAGCCUGACAACCUAGAUUUGCACCCCAGGAUUCACAUGCUAAAAGGAGACACAUAGCAUAGCCUUCCUCUAAAAGCUUUUCUCUGACCUCCACACGUUCCGUGUGGUACGUGCACACAUUCAUAUACACAAGAAUAAAUGAAUUUUAAAAUAACAGAACAAGUAAGCAAUAUCCAGCAAGGGCUGGACAUCCAGAGUCAGAAGCCAGAUUAAUGGUGUCAGGGGCUGUGAGGCAGGGAAAUGGGGAGGGACCACUUAAAGGUACGUCUUUCCUUUGCAGUAAUAAAAAUGUUUGGAACUUGAUAGUGAUAAUUGUGCAACACUGUGAAUGUAGUAAUUGCCAGUGACUUGUAUCACUUAAGGUGGGUAAAGUAGUGAGUUUUAUAUUCUAUGAAUGCCACUAAAUUAAAACAUAGCCAGAAACAGGAUGAUUGCCUGUGAACUUGUAAAGCAGGUGCUGAGAUGUUUUUAAGCCAGAUAGCAUCAAGGCCUUGUGGUUACAUUUGAUGAGAUUUGAGAAAUAAGGAAGUAGUGGAGACCAGUUAAGACUCUGAGGAACCUGCUCAUGCUAGAAAGUUAAGGAAGUUCAGAGAAAAAUGUGUCCAAGCUAAAACUGUCAGAUGGAAAGGCAAAGAGCUGGCAGGUGUGGGCGAGAGGCACUCAGAGGCAAACAAGACACCAGAGCUGGGGAACAGGGGUCCAGAUGGAAAUGGAAAGGCCAGCCUGUUAGAUUCUCAACACUGCAAGCUUAAGGUGCAGGUUGAUGGCCAUUGUUGUGGGACCUUCUGCUGGGCAAAUGUCCCUAUAGUUAUCCUGGUUUCUUGGUCGUGGCAAUUCUGAGGCUACAGUAGAUUUUUGUUUGUUUUAUCCUGGUCAAACUGGGCAACUUUAAGUUCAUGUCUCCCCAGAUUCUCCAAAAGCAUCAAUCAGGUGGCUAGGAAUAAUUAAGUCCUUUGGGCAGAGAGAGAUUUAUUAAGUGGACAACACCAGUGCCUCUCUUCU